UGCCCACUACGACAGGCGACAACCGCACCUAGUUUAGGGAGAGAUUCCUUGGCAGAUGCUGCCGCCGCUCUGACUUCGCUUCUGGUCUUAUCCUUCCUCCUUGCUGCUCCUCCCCCUCCAAGCCCAUCAUUUCAUCUCCAUCGCGACGCCGUCUAUCACCACCAUAGCCGUGCCGCAGCUCGAUCUGCUGCUCCUGAGCGCAGCCACCUCGUCCCCGACGCCGAGCUCCUUCUCCCCUGCCUUCUUUUCCCCGUCAUCUCCGUGUUCUCUUCUUCUCUUUUUCUCCUGUUUACUCACAUCUCCCUCUAUCUCUCUUGCUCUCUGUUACAGAGGCCGCCAUGGACGCCCGAGGUCCUCCGAUCCGAGUCUCCGACCCACACCCCGGCGUCCCUGCCGACGUCGUCGCCUAGGAAGACCACCAUGCCCGCUGCAGGAGCUUCGAGCCGACCCCGCAGCAUGUAGACCGCCGCCACCCGUCCGCCGUCGGGAAUCACCAGAUCCCCCCGUAUCCGACCUGCCUCGCCAUCCUUCUCCCGUUCCCGACGUCUCCUCAGCGCCAGAAUCUCAGGCGAGUGACACCACAAGACCCUGCCUCCUCUGCCCCGGAGGCCACCAUGGAGGUCAUCGCCUCUCCUUCUCGAUCCGUCCACCGUCGGAUCCAUGCUGGUGUUCUCCAGGGACCCGCCAUGGAGGUUGCCGCCCCUCCCGUCUCGAUCCUUCCGCACCCGGAUCCACGGCAGAGCAGCCGAGAUCCGUCGCCUGUUCUGCGACGCCUUGGCCCGCCAAGGCAAGCGCAGAGGCUGACAAGGCGCACAGGAAGGCCAAUGGCCUCGCCAAGCAGCGGGUGGCUCUGGCGAAGCCCUGCCCGAAACCCUAGCCACGGGGGUUGGGGUUGUGAGCGGGCGGUAGAGGAUGGGAGCGGAGAAUAUGGACGGAGGGGAGGGAGGCGCGGACCGUGGGGAGUUCGGGGGCGUGCUGCGCGGCGCCGGAGGUCGCCGGAAACGGCCGGCGUUGGUGGUGGCGGCGGUGGCGGCGAUGAGGGAGAGGAGGCGAGCCCGUGCUCCUCGUGUGGUCGCGUUUUCUUUUUCUUUACACAAAUCUGUUCGGACAGUGGGUUGAAUAUCGCAAAAAACAGAGUGUUUUGUGCAAAAUUGAAGUGUUUUCCCAGAUCCACUUAAACAGGGACCGCGGGUUGAAUUGUCAAAAACAGAAGUGCUUUUUUGCAAAAUUACAAACGACGUACGACCAGAAGCAAUAGGCGCUUUAUUAGUAGGGAAAGACUUUGAGAUUGCAACUUACCAACUUUACGUUGGAGUCAUGUAGUUUUACACGCUCAUGAUAGAACUGCAUAAUAUUAUUCCCCUCUAUCUUUGAUA